rnacentral:rRNA from 1 species
CACGUAGGCGGAUACUUAAGUUAGGGGUGAAAUCCCAGAGCUCAACUCUGGAACUGCCUCUAAUACUGGGUAUCUCGAGUCCGGAAGAGGUGAGUGGAAUUCCGAGUGUAGAGGUGAAAUUCGUAGAUAUUCGGAGGAACACCAGUGGCGAAGGCGGCUCACUGGUCCGGUACUGACGCUGAGGUGCGAAAGCGUGGGGAGCAAACA